rnacentral:rRNA from 1 species
CGCACGGGUGAGUAACGCGUAUGCAACCUACCUAUCAGAGGGGAAUAACCCGGCGAAAGUCGGACUAAUACCGCAUAAAACAGGGGCACCGCAUGGUGAUAUUUGUUAAAGAAAUUCGCUGAUAGAUGGGCAUGCGUUCCAUUAGGUAGUUGGUGAGGUAACGGCUCACCAAGCCGACGGUGGAUAGGGGAACUGAGAGGUUGGUCCCCCACACUGGUACUGAGACACGGACCAGACUCCUACGGGAGGCAGCAGUGAGGAAUAUUGGUCAAUGGGCGAGAGCCUGAACCAGCCAAGUCGCGUGAAGGAAGAAGGAUCUAUGGUUCGUAAACUUCUUUUGCAGGGGAAUAAAGUGCGGGACGUGUCCUGUUUUGUAUGUACCCUGAGAAUAAGGAUCGGCUAACUCCGUGCCAGCAGCCGCGGUAAUACGGAGGAUCCGAGCGUUAUCCGGAUUUAUUGGGUUUAAAGGGUGCGUAGGUGGUUUGAUAAGUCAGCGGUGAAAGUUUGCAGCUUAACUGUAAAAAUGCCGUUGAAACUGUCGGACUUGAGUGUAAAUGAGGUAGGCGGAAUGCGUGGUGUAGCGGUGAAAUGCAUAGAUAUCACGCAGAACUCCGAUUGCGAAGGCAGCUUACUAAGCUACAACUGACACUGAAGCACGAAAGCGUGGGGAUCAAACAGGAUUAGAUACCCUGGUAGUCCACGCAGUAAACGAUGAUUACUAGCUGUUUGCGAUACACAGUAAGCGGCACAGCGAAAGCGUUAAGUAAUCCACCUGGGGAGUACGCCGGCAACGGUGAAACUCAAAGGAAUUGACGGGGGCCCGCACAAGCGGAGGAACAUGUGGUUUAAUUCGAUGAUACGCGAGGAACCUUACCCGGGUUUGAACGUAGGGAGACA